rnacentral:misc_RNA from 1 species
GAUGAAGAACUUAGCGAAAUGCGAUACGUAAUGUGAAUUGCAGAAUUCAGUGAAUCAUCGAAUCUUUGAACGCAUAUUGCGCUCUUUGGUAUUCCGAAGAGCAUGCUUGUUUGAGUAUCAGUAAACACCUCAACCUCUUCUUGAUUUUUCAAAAGGAGGGUGGACUUGAGCUAUCCCAACAACCUUUACCGGUCGGCGGGCGGCUUGAAAUGCAGGUGCAGCUGGACUUUUAUCUGAGCUAAAAGCAUAUCUAUUUAGUCCUCGUCAAACAGGAUUAUUACUUUUGCUGCAGCUAACAUAAAGGAUAAUUGUCCUCUUUGCUGACUGAUGCAGGAUUUUACGACACUUUAUGUGUUGUUCAACUCGAUCUCAAAUCAAGUAAGACUACCCGCUGAACUUAAGCAUAUCAAUAAGCGGAGGA